CAGGCGGUAGCUGCUAAGCUACAAAGGCUAACGUAAAUAGCGGGGGCGAGGUGGGGGGGGGGGGGGGGGGGCGCCUUUCCGUGGCUCGUACGGUGAUCUGGCAGGUCGCACUUUGAUGCUCCGUCACCCGGCGGUUCGAGCGGACCCGUCCCCGGGGCGCGGGCGGUACACGCCCUCGACGGCCGCACACGGCAGAUGGCCUCAAAGCGAGGGAGCGGCGACACCCAGCCAACGCAUCCAGCUUUCAAGCACAGCGUCAAGGGCAGCAAAGGGCCCGUAAAUAUUUCAUACAAACACUCGGAAACGGCGUGUGUGUGUGUGUGUGUGUGUGCACGCGGGCCUGGGCCAAAUCAAAGGCACGGUGGAUGACCGGUUAGCACAUCUGCCUCACAGUUCUGGGGACCGGGGUUCAAAGCUGGCCCCGCCUGUGUGGAGUUUGCAUGUUCCCCCCGUGCCUGGAUGGCUUUUCUCCAGGCGCUCCGCUUUCCUCCCACAUCCCAAAAGCGUGCGUGCUGGGUUAAGUGAAGACUCUAAAUUGCCCGUAGGUUGUUUGUUUGUAUGUGCCCUGCGAUUGGCUGGCGACCGGUUCAGGGUGUACCCCGCCUCUCACCCCAAGAUAGGUGGGAUGGGCUCCGGCAGCCCGCGACCCGAGUGAGGAGAAGCGGUCAAGAAAAUGGAUGGAUGGAUGAAACCUUGGCCCGCUGCGUCUGCUUCUACUUUGGAAUCACGCACUCAGUGCAAAACCACACCGAGGCGUCCCAACGCUCCCAACAAGCUUGGCCCUGAAGGCAUCGGGUCUUAAUAAACGGCUUCUGGUACUAGUCCAUCGAAAUAAGAACAAAAAUGGUGAACAGCGAUCUGCCACAGAUUUUGCGGUUCACCAUUGACAAGAGCAAGAAGAAGAAAAAGGAAAAGGUUUGUAUGGGUUGCUGCUCUGUUUGAAGGCUUAUCGAUCAUCUAUGCUCAUUUCUGUUACCCCAUCUAUGGCAUUUCACAUUGAAAGUUAGCAUUAAGCUUGCAAACUUUCAUCAGAAGGAUUUAUAUGGUUUAGUUGAAUAUUUUGAUGUUUAAAUAUAUCAUGUUUAAUUAAUUCUCUUUUGUUUCAUGUGCCAGUCUUUGUCUUGUAUGAAAACUUUGUAACGUAAAUAAAUAUUUGUAGUUUUUUUUAUUAUUAUUUAAAAUUACAUUCAUUAAUUUCUUCUUUUUUUUAAAAAAUCUAUCCAC